AGAUUUGCUCUGUAUGGUUUGUACCCUGAAUAAUCUAGAUAAUUGUAAAAUGUAGACACUGUUUUGUAUUGUAUGAUUCCAUUGUUCUUAGGCAAGGAUUUGAGGUUUAAAGUUGUUGUGGGACGUACAUGGUAGUAUGGUCCUUCGUACGGUUUUGAGUGAUAUAACGUGUACACACUGGGUGCAUAAUCAUGUAAUGACCAACAGCAACAAACAGAUCUCCUCAAGGUAAGUCUGUUGGCUGUGUUUUAAUGAAGACCAUCGCUGGACUUCAGGAUCUUCCUCCGUUCAGCUCAAGGUGAGGCGCUGGUUCUGUUUUUUUCUUUGGUUGGUUCCGGCCGGAAUGUUCGGAUUCCUGUCGGACGGUUUGUCCUUCCCGCCGUGGAAGUUACUGUGUGCGGUCACUUGAUUUAGUCCCAAUGGUUAGCAUAGAACGUUGUAGUCUUGACAGCCAUAAGAAACCACCUGGCAGUUAGUUGGACGGGAGUCCCCUGAGGGAAUGUGGCUGAACGUUCUAGAUUGUAUUUGCGUAACCUCGAGCCGUUGCCAACGGAAACUAUUUUUCAGUCGGUUUCCAUAGGGAAUUGUUGCCCCUCAUCUUAAACAACUUAAGUUUGAGAUUAAAUACAUACCAACACGUACGUCGUACAAUAUGUUAAUUUCCGAUGGUUGCGCCAUACUUUUAACCACGUUGACUCUCGCUGCGUACAAAACGGCCUUCUACUUGCGGGCCCAUUUUUGAAAUCAGUGAAGGCUGAAAAUCAUUUCAAGGUGGAAGACAAUUUGACAUUUCUUCAACGGAACACAGCACCUGAAUAUGGCUAAGAUGAGUAAAUUUGAUUAAAUAUCAAUACUGCUUAGUGUUUGUUAGUUCAGCUUUUGUAUGUUUUAAAAAUCUGCUGUCAUUAAUUGCCACAGAAGUUAAACCCUACCCAAUCGAAUGACGUUAAACAAUGACUUUGGUGCAGAGUUACCAACUUGAUAAUAUCAAGCUAAAAUAAUGGCCAUCCUUCCCACAUGUUACAGUAGAAGAUACUCUAGAACUGUACAAGGUUAAAAAAGUAACAUGUAGUUUGUCCCAAGGUGUCUGCCUCCUCACCAAGAGCAAGACCUCCAACUCCUCAUCCAAAGCCAGACCUCCACCUCCUGUCAGAAGUCUCCAGAACAGCUGAAAGGCGAGGCUGAGAGGCUGGGGACCAGAGGCUUGUGGUGCCAGGGUGGACCGGAGACUAAGGCUGGAGACCAGGGGCCUGCAGCACCGGACCAAAGGACCAGGAAUCCAUGUCUGGAGGAGCCGUGCUGAAGGAGCUGAUGGAGGAGCCGUGCUGAUGGAGUCGUGCAGCGGAGCUCAACGACCGUGUCCCUCCACCAGGACUCUGUCUGAGGAGAGCUGCUGGAGGAGCUGAGACGCUGGAGGACGACUAGGAAUCGACCAACAAGGAGUCUUCGUAACCUUUUAUUUACUUGCAUGGUUGACUUAAAGGGAAAAAUACAGCUGAUACUUUGACAUGCGUUAACCAACUACCGCUGUGUUUUCUUACUAGAACGUGUUUCUGGAGCCGAGGCGAGCUGGUAGGGGAGCCGUGAAUCUGGAGGAUGACCAUCACUCUACCAACAAGAAUUACGUUGGGGCCAGACUCGUGCUGUUUGUUCCAGACCAGGACUCUGGCUGUGGAGAGCUGCUGGAGGAGCUGAGACGCUGGAGGACGACUAGGAAUCGACCAACAAGGAGUCUUCGUAACUUUUUAUUUACUUGCAUGGUUGACUUAAAGGGCAAAAUACAGCUGUUACUUUGACAUGCGUUAACCAACUACCGCUGUGUUUUCUUACUAGAACGUGUUUCUGGAGCCGAGGCGAGCUGGUAGGGGAGCCGUGAAUCUGGAGGAUGACCAUCACUCUACCAACCAGGGUUGUAAGUUUGUAUUAACCAAACAAACUGGGAAUAAAGGGCUUAAAAAUAAGACAAACGACAUGUUUGUUACAGA